UACGUAGGGGGCUAGCGUUGUCCGGAAUCAUUGGGCGUAAAGAGCGUGUAGGCUGCUCGGUAAGUCCGCUGUAAAAGUCAAAGGCUCAACCUUUGAAUGUCAGUGGAUACUGCCGGGCUAGAGUCCGGAAGAGGCGAGUGGAAUUCCGGGUGGUAGCGGUGAAAUGCGUAGAGAUCCGGAGGAACACCCAGUGGCGCAGGCGGCUCCUCUGGGUCGGCCCUGACGCUGAGGCGCGAAAGCGUG
rnacentral:rRNA from 1 species